rnacentral:rRNA from 1 species
GACGAACGCUGGCGGCGUGCCUAAUACAUGCAAGUUGAGCGCUGAAGGUUGGUACUUGUACCAACUGGAUGAGCAGCGAACGGGUGAGUAACGCGUGGGGAAUCUGCCUUUGAGCGGGGGACAACAUUUGGAAACGAAUGCUAAUACCGCAUAAAAACUUUAAACACAAGUUUUAAGUUUGAAAGAUGCAAUUGCAUCACUCAAAGAUGAUCCCGCGUUGUAUUAGCUAGUUGGUGAGGUAAAGGCUCACCAAGGCGAUGAUACAUAGCCGACCUGAGAGGGUGAGCGGCCACAUUGGGACUGAGACACGGCCCAAACUACUACGGGAGGCAGCAGUAGGGAAUCUUCGGGAAUGGACGAAAGUCUGAACGAGCAACGCCGCGUGAGUGAAGAAGGCUGUCGGAUCGUAAAACUCUGUUGGUAGAGAAGAACGUUGGUGAGAGUGGAAAGCUCAUAAAGUGACGGUAACUACACAGAAAGGGACGGCUAACUACGUG